rnacentral:Y_RNA from 1 species
GGCUGGUCCGAUGGUAGUGGGUUAUCAGAACUUAUUUACAUUAGUGUCACUAAAGUUGGUAUUCAACCCCCCACUGCUAAAUUUGACUGGCUUUAA